ACCUUUGUGCUGUGGCAUCAUCAUAGCCAAGAAGGUUUAUCCCAUGCAUAAUUACUGCUAAUGGAAAACUUUUCCCAGUACUCUAUCAAGACAACUUGAAAUAUAGUCAGCUUUGGCAAGUUUUUUAACU
rnacentral:snRNA from 1 species